AGAACGAACGCUGGCGGCGUGGAUAAGACAUGCAAGUCGAACGCGAUUUAUCAGGUUAGCAAUAACUUGGUAGAUUGAGUGGCGAAAGGGUGCGUAACACGUGGGAAUUUACCAAGAAGUGGGGAAUAGCUCGACGAAAGUCGAAUUAAUACCGCAUGUGAUCGAAAGAUCAAAGUCGGGGACCGCAAGGCCUGACGCUUUUUGAGAAGCCCGCGGCCCAUCAGCUAGUUGGUGAGGUAAUGGCUCACCAAGGCUAUGACGGGUAGCUGGUCUGAGAGGACGACCAGCCACACUGGAACUGAGACACGGUCCAGACACCUACGGGUGGCAGCAGUCGAGAAUUUUUCACAAU
rnacentral:rRNA from 1 species